rnacentral:tRNA from 2 species
GGAAGGUUCGCAUAACGGUAUUGCCGUGGUUUGCUAAACCGCCGUCGGGAAACCGGCAUGCAGGUUCGAGUCCUGCACCUUCCGCCA